GGGGCACAUUUGCAUUAGACGAAAUUUUUGAAGAAUGAAGUGGAUUUUAAUCAGAAAGUGUUGAAGCCCAACUAAAGAUUUUUGGCAAAAACAAGUUUGAAGAGAAGCCACUUCAACCUGAUGCAAACUCAAGAGUUACCCUCAAAAUCAAAGGGAUGUUAAUGUAUGUACUGCUAUUCUUGGUAAUGUAGUGGCUGAAAAGCACUUAGCAUCAAAAAAGGAUUAAAGGGAACAUCCUAACAAACCUGCAAGAUAGCUUGAAGGGGAUAUUCUGUGUAGUUGAGGGGGAAUUAGUAGCUAGAAAGUGGAUGGAUUUGGAGACUACUACCUCCGUCUUGGCUCAUCAGAUAUGUACUGAGUACCUACUUUACAAUGAGCAUAAAGCAUGAUAUUAAAUCUAUAUCAAUGAAAAUGGUGUCCUCACACACUAUAUAUAAAAGAAACUGAGGAAACAUUAAAUUUUUAUAGUUAUAUUUUUCCAGUUUCUUUCAUUCCUAUUGUAAUAGAGAGACAGAGCUAAGUUAAACAUGCAAAGGGUUAAACUUUAUUUGAA